UCUCGACGGUUGGGUCGCUCGCAACGCAGGAAGCGGAAGUGGUGGCGAUACGUGCAACAUCCGGCGGCAAACCACACAGAAAUAAAUAAAACAAAACCAAAAACAAACCUGUGAACACACACCAAAAUAAAUAGUUUAAAUAGAAAAAAAUAUCCGCAUAUAAUAUAGUCUAAGUUUGUGUGCUUGUUAAUAAUAUUAAGAAUCAAAAUUAUUGCAAAUAAUUCAAAACAGCAAGUGCUUUCGGAAAGCAUAAAUGUCUAAAUUUAAAAGUCGUUAAAACCAAAAUAAAUAUCGAUUAUAAAAAGUCAAAAAGUUUGUGGAAACAAUUUCGGAAUCAGAGCCACAGAAAAGAAAGCUGACAAACAAGCAAUAUGCGUAUAGGCCAGGCCAAAAAGGACAAGAUAACAAAUCCCCCAGCGGCACUUAAGGCAUAAAUCUCAAACUCAAUCAACCAUCCGAGGCUGAGAAAGAGAGGGGAACAGACUCGCUAGACAGAGACAAACGAUCUAAGUGGCUGCUGUUCAUCUGGAUAUUGGGACAAAGCCGGUAGCAGAAUAAGGAGCAGGAACAGGACCA